AGGAUGCCACAUGCUAUUCCCUUGUACCUGGAACGCUCUUGCCCUGUGAGGAAACUGAGGCUCAGUGAUCUGCCCAAGUUGCAAAAUAGCACUUAUCAUACACCAUCAUAUGACUCUUAAUUCUG